rnacentral:rRNA from 1 species
GACGAACGCUGGCGGCGUGCUUAACACAUGCAAGUCGAACGGAAAGGCCCUGCUUUUGUGGGGUGCUCGAGUGGCGAACGGGUGAGUAACACGUGAGUAACCUGCCCUUGACUUUGGGAUAACUUCAGGAAACUGGGGCUAAUACCGGAUAGGAGCUCCUGCUGCAUGGUGGGGGUUGGAAAGUUUCGGCGGUUGGGGAUGGACUCGCGGCUUAUCAGCUUGUUGGUGGGGUAGUGGCUUACCAAGGCUUUGACGGGUAGCCGGCCUGAGAAGGUGACCGGCCACAUUGGGACUGAGAUACGGCACAGACUCCUACGGGAGGCAGCAGUGGGGAAUAUUGCACAAUGGGCGGAAGCCUGAUGCAGCAACGCCGCGUGCGGGAUGACGGCCUUCGGGUUGUAAACCGCUUUCGCCUGUGACGAAGCGUGAGUGACGGUAAUGGGUAAAGAAGCACCGGCUAACUACGUG